rnacentral:rRNA from 1 species
UGCGUAGGGUGCGAGCGUUGUCCGGAAUUACUGGGCGUAAAGAGCUCGUAGGUGGUUUGUCGCGUUGUUCGUGAAAACCGGGGGCUUAACCCUCGGCGUGCGGGCGAUACGGGCAGACUGGAGUACUGCAGGGGAGACUGGAAUUCCUGGUGUAGCGGUGGAAUGCGCAGAUAUCAGGAGGAACACCGGUGGCGAAGGCGGGUCUCUGGGCAGUAACUGACGCUGAGGAGCGAAAGCGUGGGGAGCGAACAGG